AACGAACGCUGGCGGCAUGCCUAACACAUGCAAGUCGAACGAGACCUUCGGGUCUAGUGGCGCACGGGUGCGUAACGCGUGGGAACCUGCCCUUAGGUUCGGAAUAACUCCCCGAAAGGGGUGCUAAUACAGGAUAAUGUCUUCGGACCAAAGAUUUAUCGCCUUUGGAUGGGCCCGCGUUGGAUUAGCUAGUUGGUAGGGUAAAAGCCUACCAAGGCGACGAUCCAUAGCUGGUCUGAGAGGAUGAGCUGCCACACUGGGACUGAGACACGGCCCAGACUCCUACGGGAGGCAGCAGUGGGGAAGAUUGGACAAUGGGCGAAGGGCUGAUCCAGCAAUGCCGCGUGAGGGAUGCAGGCCUUAGGGUUGUAAAGCUCUUUUACCCGGGAUGAUAAUGACAGUACCGGGAGAAUAAGCUCCGGCUAACUCCGUG
rnacentral:rRNA from 1 species